GCCGGUCCUCGGUAGUGGCCCCCGGGGGGAAGUGAACCCGGGUGCUUCGAUCGAAGACCGGC
rfam:Streptomyces phaeoluteigriseus strain DSM 41896 Scaffold_9, whole genome shotgun sequence.